rnacentral:rRNA from 1 species
UACGGAGGGGGCUAGCGUUGUUCGGAAUUACUGGGCGUAAAGCGCACGUAGGCGGCUUUGUAAGUUAGAGGUGAAAGCCCAGGGCUUAACCCUGGAAUUGCCUUUAAGACUGCAUCGCUAGAAUCGUGGAGAGGUGAGUGGAAUUCCCGAGUGUAGAGGUGAAAUUCGUAGAUAUUCGGAAGAACACCAGUGGCGAAGGCGACUCACUGGACACGUAUUGACGCUGAGGUGCGAAAGCGUGGGGAGCAAACAGG